rnacentral:rRNA from 14 species
UCUGGUAAUGAUGGCAGAGAGGUCACACCCGUUCCCAUACCGAACACGGAAGUUAAGCUCUCUAGCGCCGAUGGUAGUUGGGACCUUGUCCCUGUGAGAGUAGGACGUCGCCAAGC